rnacentral:rRNA from 1 species
AUGCCAAUAUUGGCGCAAGGGUCAUCGCUGAAGAUCGCUGACCCGUUCGACUAUGGAGGAGGGAACAUAAAUCCUUAUGGGGCGGCUCAUCCCGGCCUCAUCUAUGACAUCGAUCCAAGCGACUACAGCAAGUUCUUCAAAUGUGCCAUCAGCACCAAGAGGAUGCCUGUGACGUGCAACACCACCACCACGCUACCGGCGUAUUACAUCAACCUACCAUCCAUCUCGGUUCCCGAUCUCAGGCAUCCCAUCACCGUGUACAGGACGGUGACCAACGUCGGCGAGGUCAAUUCUGUGUACCAUGCCGCAGUGCAGAGCCCGAUGGGAGUCAAGAUGGAGGUCAUCCCACCUGUUCUUAUAUUUGAUGCUGCUAACAAAGUUCAAACAUAUCGGGUGAAGCUGUCACCUAUGUGGAAGUUGCACGGGGACUACACGUUUGGUAGCCUUACUUGGCAAAAUGACCAAAAGGCAGUAAGGAUUCCAGUUGUGGCCCGGAUUACAAUUCAAGAAAUCUAG